GAUCAAGGAUGAAAAAUAGCCAAAUCUGAAUGCCUUGGUAACAUCUGCCUUGGCCUGUGAUUUUGUUUUGCUUGAGA